rnacentral:misc_RNA from 1 species
GAAUUGAGCUGGCUUCGGCCGCUCUGAUCUAUACACACCUGUGAACUGUUGGCCUUCGGGUCUUUAACUACAACUGUGACGAACGUAAAUUAUUAUAACAAAUAAAACUUUUAACAACGGAUCUCUUGGCUCU